rnacentral:rRNA from 1 species
UGGCGAACGGGUGAGUAACGCGUGGGUAACCUGCCUCAUACAGGGGGAUAACAGUUAGAAAUGGCUGCUAAUACCGCAUAAGACCACGGUACUGCAUGGUACAGUGGUAAAAACUCCGGUGGUAUGAGAUGGCCCCGCGUCUGAUUAGGUAGUUGGUGAGGUAACGGCCCACCAAGCCGACGAUCAGUAGCCGACCUGAGAGGGUGACCGGCCACAUUGGGACUGAGACACGGCCCAG